AGGUGACUGCCGGUGACAAACCGGAGGAAGGUGGGGAUGACGUCAAAUCAUCAUGCCCCUUAUGACCUGGGCUACACACGUGCUACAAUGGAUGGUACAAAGGGCUGCAAAACCGCGAGGUUAAGCGAAUCCCAUAAAACCAUUCUCAGUUCGGAUUGUAGGCUGCAACUCGCCUACAUGAAGCCGGAAUCGCUAGUAAUCGCGGAUCAGCAUGCCGCGGUGAAUACGUUCCCGGGCCUUGUACACACCGCCCGUCACACCACGAGAGUUUGUAACACCCGAAGUCGGUGGGGUAACCUAACUGGAGCCAGCCGCCUAAGGUGGGACAGAUGAUUGGGGUGAAGUCGUAACAAGGUAGCCGUAUCGGAAGGUGCGGCUGGAUCACCUCCUUUUUAAGGAA
rnacentral:rRNA from 1 species